rnacentral:tRNA from 1 species
GGCUGAGCGGUCGCUACUAGGGUAAUGCGACAUGAUGCGACAUGCUGCGAAGGCCGGGGUCACUGCGACAUAACUGCUACAUGAAUGAAAAAAACUUAACAAAAACAAUGCUGACACGGGGAAUCAUAAUCCUUGUGUCGGGGGUUCAAAUCCCUCCUCCGCUACCA